UACGUAGGGGGCUAGCGUUGUCCGGAUUCAUUGGGCGUAAAGAGCGUGUAGGCGGCCAGGUAGGUCGGUUGUGAAAACUGGAGGCUCAACCUUCAGAGGUCGACCGAAACCAUCUGGCUAGAGUCCGGGAGAGGAGAGUGGAAUUCCUGGUGUAGCGGUGAAAUGCGCAGAUAUCAGGAAGAACACCCGUGGCGAAAGCGGCUCUCUGGAACGGUACUGACGCUGAGACGCGAAAGCGUGGGGAGCAAACAGG
rnacentral:rRNA from 1 species